UAUGCAUAUAUAUAUAAGUAUAUAAAAGGAAAUCCCGAGUGCCAUCAGCCUUUUCCUCAAUUACUGUGUGUGUGUGUGUAUGUGCGUAUAUCCGUAAUCAUGGUUUUUAUGAAACCAUUUCUGCAGAAAUUUAUAUUUAUGUACAGUACACAUACUUUUUUGGUGGCUUAAAUUGCGUUAUGAAAUGUAAUGGCGGGUCAUUAGGGUUUGUCCAUUAGGUGGGUUUCGGAUGGUUCACCACCCAGUUCGUGUUCCUCCAACUCCUGGGCGGAAAUUGCAGCGACGUUGGCCGGAUAUGCCCGCGAUUAAACCGAAUGGCCAAUGGUCCAAAAUGGCGAAGCUUCUCUCGCUUCCUCCGCCCUUUUCCAUUGGUAGGAGAUACGAAUCGGAUUUGGAGUGCUCCUAACGAUUUGAAAUUCGUAUUUGGAUUUAAUGCGUGUGUGCGACGCUUCUCGCUGCUUCUGAAUACUUACAAUUUUAUUUAUUUAUUUAUGUUAAACUCGCGGAUUGGGUUUGUUUAUAUGGACAUCUGGCGGUGGCCUCGCCAUUAAUAUUUAUCAGCUGCUGCACCUUUCCCGGCUCUGCAGCUCGGUUCCCUUGCUCGAUGGCGUCGCAUAAAUCGCAGCAACUUUGGCCCGACACGCCCCUCGAACGCCCCGAUUUUCUCUGAACUCGCUUGGCUCACAAGUUCCAGGUACAAUCAAGUUUUUCGCUUUUAUUAUGGGGAGUAUAAUAUAUUUUAUACGGCUCUAUCUGCCGCCGUCUUCUUUGCUCCCUUUUCCAUCUUUCCUACCAAUUUAUGGCGGCCAUUUUGGAGAGGUGGUGUCUUUGAAAUUUUAGUUUAUUGCAAAGUCUCAUAAAUAUUUCAAGAGCAAGUUUCUUCGUCUUCAUCGCUCCCGCUCGAUAUAUAAACCUGGCAAAUUUAUAUUAGUCUGCGAUGAAGCAGGGCAUUUUAUGAGGGGUUGAAAGAGAAAUGUAUCAUGAGGUUCAUGGACUUUGAUGUGCCAGUCUGUCACCUGAGUCCCACUGCUCGGCGAAAAAGUUCUUUUGAGUGCUUUAUGUAUGUUCCAUAAACACGAUUGUUCACCGACUUGGCGGUGUGGCAUUUAUAGACCCAGUCAAUUACGGCGGAUUCAUUUUAUUUGAUUACGAGUUGACCCUGAUCCAUUAUUAUCGGUAUCAUAUUUGGAUUCCCUAGUGCAUUGUUCAAGCGCAAGGAAUCUGGAAUCUCGAAUUUAUGUACCCGCCCCUACAUAUCUGGGAAGCAUUUCCAAUUUGAUUAGAUUGAUCAGACUUAAUGAACCGGCGACCAUAUCGAUGGAGCAUAUCGAAUGGAUACGCCGUGCCCAAAACGAGUAACUGCGGCGAAUGAACCUUGAAUGGAAAGCGUAGCGAACUACAGGCAAUUAUUUUCCAUUUGCGUAAAUUAUACAUUUAAAUUAGGUGUUGGCAUAUUUCCUUUAAAGGAUUUUCCCUGCUGUCCGAGAGUUCAAAGUACAUGUGCGCACACAUACACGCCCGUGCCAUCUGAUGCCUGCCGUUUUGUGUUGUAAAUUUGCAAAAUAAACGAAAUUGACGUAGGAGCAACAAUAAACAAGUGAUGGCCGGCCAUCAUCAACCGGCAUCCAGCCGUCUGAAAUCCGAAGAAACUCCAAAAGGACCAGCAUCAUUGGGCUUCAUCUCUAUCUGAAAUCGCCAUUUAACCAGCAGGACGACAGACCUCCCAUGAUGCACGUCUCAUAUUGCACUGAUUUAUGGUCCGGUCAGUGGGCGGUGGGGUGCGUAUGUGGCAUGAGUUGGUUGCCAGUGGGGGGUGGGAAACCACCCAAAAGUGCAACACGAACGCUGCAACUGCACGUCGAACGACAUCGACACACCCACCCACAGGCGCUCCAGAGAGACGGGCAGCAUAUUUUCAACUGUCCACAAAUUGCAUUUAAAUAAAGCUUAAUUAAAUUUUAAGUCUA